UACAGAGGUCUCAAGCGUUGUUCGGAUUCAUUGGGCUUAAAGGGUGCGUAGGCGGCGCGGAAAGUAGGGUGUGAAAUCCCUCGGCUCAACCGAGGAAUUGCGCCCUAAACUACCGUGCUCGAGGGAGAUAGAGGUGAGCGGAACUUAGGGUGGAGCGGUGAAAUGCGUUGAUAUCCUAAGGAACACCGGUGGCGAAAGCGGCUACACUGGAUCUCUUCUGACGCUGAGGCACGAAAGCUAGGGUAGCGAACGGG
rnacentral:rRNA from 1 species